GGGCCCGUGGCGCAGAAUGGAUAGCGCGGCGGCCUCCUACCCCGCCGACAGGGUUCAAGUCCCACCGGGCCCG
rnacentral:tRNA from 1 species